GAGCUUUUUACUCCUGGUGACUGCUGGAUUUGCUACGUAACGCCUGCUUGGAUAUACAGUUACUCUUGAAGGAUUACUCCUCAUCCUGCCUCACCCUCGGCUCAGUAAAUGUCGAGGGGUUCUCGAUUAGCCAAGAAAAGACUUGCAUGAAACCCCAAGCAUAGGCUUAAGGCCGGUUCACAUCGUUUCAUUCUAUCCAUAAAUUCGAUUUGAUACGAGCCAAUGUACCGAGAUAAAGCGGUCGAGUCCUAAGAUGCACCCCACCCCCAUUCUCUCUCUCUCUCUCUCUCUCUCUCUCUCUCUCUCUCUCUCUCUCUCUCUCACCGUUAUCCCUAUAUUAAAGGGUCGGUUGCCUGAUGCGCCUUCUCCUCCACUGUCUUCUAUCAAAGGCAUCAUCCUCCACCGAACCUCUUCUCUUUUAUCUUCCUUCACUUCAUCUCACCGUCUAAUUCACUCUCCCCCUCUCGAUCUUCUUCCUCUCACAGGUUCCUCCCAAGCCCUCUUCACUCUCUUCACUCCCUCCUCCUCGUUAUCCUUGCUCAACACCACAUGCCCAACCAUCUCAAUCGUGAUUCUUAUCACAUCUGUAAUCUUUACUAAGCUUUCCUGCCCUUCUUCUUAUUGAGUCAUUUUCCAAUCUCUCUCUCUCGAGCAGCGAUAGCUAUUCCCACAAUCCCCCUCCUCAGCAUUCUCAUCUCUGUUCUCAAGCCUUAUACUUCCUCUUGUCUUCUUAGAGAGGCCAUGUCUCCGAUCCAUUCAUUAACACUGGUCUUAUCACUGUGCUUAUUAUAGGACCAUAGAACUAAGAUAUGGGUUGUAUCAAAGCGACUGAAUAGAUGUAUGGAAACGACUGUAGGAACCAGGAACCAUAGACCAAGAACCAGGAAUCGAAAAACAAGGACCAGAAACCAGGAGCCGAGAAAUAAGAACCAGGAACCGAGAAACGAGGACCAGGUACCAGAAGUCAAGAACCAGGGACCACGAACCAUGGACCAGGAAACAUGAACCAGAGACCAUGGACCAGGGAAAAGGAACCACCAACUAGCGACCGGAAUUCAGGAAUCAUUCAUCAUGAACCAAGAAGAACCAGGAACCAUGGACCAAGAAUCAUGGACUAGACCAGGAAACAAGAACCACGAACCAUGGACGAAGAAGCAGGGGCCACGAACCAUGGACUAGGAAACAGGAAUAAGUGAUCAUGAACCAAGAACCAGGAACCAUGGACCAGGAAUCAGGAACAAUGGACGAAGAAGCAGGGACCACGAACCAUGGCUAGGAAACAGGAGCCAGUAACCAUGACCAACCAGGAACUAUGGACCAGGAAUCAGGAAAAAUGGACCAAGAACCAGGGACCAGGAACCAGCUAUAGGAUACUGCUCAACCCUCACUACGUGGCAGGAACCAGUCGUUAUAUUCGGGAGUUAUUCUUUUAUCUGCUCUAGUAAUCUAAAACGUGAGGAGCCCAUUAAUUAUUCUGUUGAUAAUUCAAGGGUGAAUGCGAAUGUCAAUAUAUUUAUAUUUAGUAAAAUAUGCAUCGUUCAUUUCAUCUACAGAAAUAACGAGAGAGAGAGAGAGAGAGAGAGAGAGAGAGAGAGAGAGAGAGAGAGAGAGAGAGAGAGAGAGAGAGAGAGAGAGAACUAGCUUAUUUAAAAGUAAGAAAUUUGAGAUAGAAAUAGGUUAAUAAAAUUUGCACCGGAAUGACUUAUAAAUAUUUUACUAGAAAUCCUAUUUUAUAUUAUAAAACAUGAUUGAAGUCAGAGAAACUGAAUUUAUUUAAUUCUUAAGUAUAAAGUCUGUAUAAAAAUGGUGUAUUGAAUGUGAGAUAGUCGAUCUCUAAUGAACAUUUGCACAGAGUGACAUUCGUAUAAACCUCAUUCAAUUCAUCAUCUGAUAUAUGUUAGAUAUCAAAUGCCGGGUUUGUCUUAUUGAAUUUGUGAUAUAUAUUUAUUUUGCCUAUGAGUCUGACUUAUUCUUUUUUUGUCGUUUUUGGUUUAAGCUGGAAUUACGCCAGCACGGGCUCUUGCUCAUAAGGCAAUGCAGCAAUGUAGCAAUCGUGAUUUGAUGAAAAAAUUGUGAAUAAAAUAUCAAAUGC